GCAGUCGCCACGGGAAUACAGAGGGUGCGAGCGUUAAUCGGAUUUACUGGGCGUAAAGCGUGCGUAGGCGGCUUCUUAAGUCGGAUGUGAAAUCCCUGAGCUUAACUUAGGAAUUGCAUUCGAUACUGGGAAGCUAGAGUAUGGGAGAGGAUGGUAGAAUUCCAGGUGUAGCGGUGAAAUGCGUAGAGAUCUGGAGGAAUACCGAUGGCGAAGGCAGCCAUCUGGCCUAAUACUGACGCUGAGGUACGAAAGCAUGGGGAGCAAACAGGAUUAGAUACCCCAGUAGUCCCUGUCUCUUAUAC
rnacentral:rRNA from 1 species